AGAGGCACCGCCUGCCCAGUGACAUACGUUUAAGGGCCGCGGUACCCUGACCAUGCA
rnacentral:miRNA from 1 species